AUUGAACGCUGGCGGCAUGCCUUACACAUGCAAGUCGAACGGCAGCGGGGGAGAAGCUUGCUUUUCCUGCCGGCGAGUGGCGAACGGGUGAGUAAUACAUCGGAACGUGCCCUGUAGUGGGGGAUAACUAGUCGAAAGAUUAGCUAAUACCGCAUACGACCUGAGGGUGAAAGUGGGGGACCGCAAGGCCUCAUGCUAUAGGAGCGGCCGAUGUCUGAUUAGCUAGUUGGUGGGGUAAAGGCCUACCAAGGCGACGAUCAGUAGCUGGUCUGGGAGGACGAUCAGCCACACUGGGACUGAGACACGGCCCAGACGCCUACGGGAGGCAGCAGUGGGGAAUUUUGGACAAUGGGCGAAAGCCUGAUUCAGCAAUGCCGCGUGUGUGAAGAAGGCCUUCGGGUUGUAAAGCACUUUUGUCCGGAAAGAAAUGGCUCUGGUUAAUACCUGGGGUCGAUGACGGUACCGGAAGAAUAAGGACCGGCUAACUACGUGCCAGCCGCCGCGGUAA
rnacentral:rRNA from 1 species